UGAACGCAUCCUUUUCCUUUGUGUUUCAAACUCUCCUCUGAGAGCACAAGUGGCUCCAAGAAGCGCGUUUAUCCGCUCAGCCUGCCGCUUCCUGAUGUCUGCGGGGGCGCGAGCCGAGCUGUCGGCUGACGGCUGGCUCUUCCAGCACUUCCCCAUCCACCGCGCGUGCCGCGAUGGAGACCUGGUGGCUUUGAUGUCCUUAGUGGAGUCAAACCGGGCUCAUCUGAGCGCAGAGGACUCCUGUUAUGGAUGGACGCCCAUUCACUGGGCUGCUCACUACGGACAGCUGGAGUGCGUGGUCCACCUGGUGCAGAGGGGCUGCGAGGUGAACACGGUGACCAGCCGCUUCAACCAGACGCCCACGCACACCGCCGCCUUCGGAGGACACCCCCACUGCGUGGUGUGGCUCACCCAGGCCGGCGCCGACAUCAACAAACAGGACUGCGUCGGCGAGGCUCCCAUCCACAAGGCGGCGCGCUGUGGCAGCGUGGAGUGCAUCCAGGUGCUGCUGAUAGCCGGAGCAGAGCCACGUUUAAGGAACGCCAGCGGACAGACGGCGGCGGACUUAGCCAAAGCUAACGGCUUCCACGACUGCUUCGGCGCCAUCGCCCAGACGCAGCUGUGCCGGCUCGCCGUGCUCAGAGACGUCGCCCCCUGUGGCGAGGGGCAGCACUGCAGGAAGAGGCCGCUGGUCGCCAAGGAGACGGCCUCCAUGAAGAAGGCCAGGAGAGCAGAAGCGUUGUUGCCGAGCGGCGGCGGCGGCGUGGAGGAGCUGGGGGCCGUGAACAUGGAGCUCAGCUCAGAUUCCGAUCCAAACACCGAAGAGCCCCGCCCACCCUCCGACGCCGAACCAGACGAGCCCCGCCUCUCUCUGCCCAGCGCCGCCGAUAUGUGCGGCUCGCUGCACCUCGCCGGAGGUUCCGGUUCGGGCCGGCCGGAGCACUGGCGGCUGACCGGCGCCGACUCCCUGCUUUACGGACACUACCACGGCUUCGGGGACACGGCAGAGGACCUGAGCGACAGCGGCGUCCACCUCUACCACGGCUCGUAGCCCCGGGCGGAUCGGACCUGAGGAGAACUCCGAGCCUCCUCCCUUUGGUUUCAUCGGUCCGAUCAAACCAGGCCCGCACUCUGAGAGGAGGCCACAGCGGAGCACGGUGGUGGCGGCGUCAUGGUCUGUGGGUGACUGUGCAUCCAGAAAAGAUGGUUUUACUCUCUGUUCAUGUUGUUCUUUCCUUCUCCUACCCUUGUGUCCUCCCUUCCUUCCUUCCUUCUUCCCUCCAGGCUGCGUUCUGAAGCAGCGUCCAGUAGGUCUGAUGCCCCCCCCUCCAGAUCGGACCUUUCUCUCCUGUUUUGCACUAUGCAGUCGUCCAGCUGCUCCCAGGAACCAAAGGGAACGUUUAUUAUGGAGCCACAGCUGCCUUACCGCGCCUGCUUUUCUACGUUCUGACUCCUGUUAAUAAAACCUGUUUCACUCAAACGUCUCGCAU